AUUGAACGCUGGCGGCAGGCUUAACACAUGCAAGUCGAGCGGAGAUGAGGUGCUUGCACCUUAUCUUAGCGGCGGACGGGUGAGUAAUGCUUAGGAAUCUGCCUAUUAGUGGGGGACAACAUUCCGAAAGGAAUGCUAAUACCGCAUACGUCCUACGGGAGAAAGCAGGGGAUCUUCGGACCUUGCGCUAAUAGAUGAGCCUAAGUCGGAUUAGCUAGUUGGGGGGGUAAAGGCCUACCAAGGCGACGAUCUGUAGCGGGUCUGAGAGGAUGAUCCGCCACACUGGGACUGAGGCACGGCCCAGACUCCUACGGGAGGCAGCAGUGGGGAAUAUUGGACAAUGGGGGGAACCCUGAUCCAGCCAUGCCGCGUGUGUGAAGAAGGCCUUAUGGUUGUAAAGCACUUUAAGCGAGGAGGAGGCUACUGAGACUAAUACUCUUGGAUAGUGGACGUUACUCGCAGAAUAAGCACCGGCUAACUCUGUGCCAGCCGCCGCCGUAAUAC
rnacentral:rRNA from 1 species